AAAGAAAAAAAAAACAGUGCAUUGUAAGGGUUACAAAUCUAGCCCUAACCUGCUAAAGUGCCCCUUGCCCAGCUUCGCCGCUUUCAUCGCCACCUUGAUCCUUGUUGAGAGAUGGCAGACCGAUUGACUCGAAUCGCUAUCAUAAGUGAAGACAGG